UACGUAGGGUGCGAGCGUUGUCCGGAAUUACUGGGCGUAAAGAGCUCGUAGGUGGUUUGUCGCGUUGUUCGUGAAAUCUCACGGCUUAACUGUGAGCGUGCAGGCGAUACGGGCAGACUAGAGUACUGCAGGGGAGACUGGAAUUCCUGGUGUAGCGGUGGAAUGCGCAGAUAUCAGGAGGAACACCGGUGGCGAAGGCGGUUCUCUGGGCAUUACCUGACGCUGAGGAGCGAAAGUGUGGGGAGCGAACAGG
rnacentral:rRNA from 1 species